rnacentral:rRNA from 1 species
UACGUAGGGCGCAAGCGUUGUCCGGAAUCAUUGGGCGUAAAGAGCUCGUAGGUGGUUUGUCGCGUUGUUCGUGAAAACUCACAGCUUAACUGUGGGCGUGCGGGCGAUACGGGCAGACUGGAGUACUGCAGGGGAGACUGGAAUUCCUGGUGUAGCGGUGGAAUGCGCAGAUAUCAGGAGGAACACCGGUGGCGAAGGCGGGUCUCUGGGCAGUAACUGACGCUGAGGAGCGAAAGCGUGGGGAGCGAACAGG